UUGUUGAUGCCUGGAAGUCCUCCUGUGUAUGUAAAGCAGGCUGAAGUCUGCCUGCAGUUCAGGAGUUGCUGCACAAAGAUUUCUUACCUUCAGUCUGGACCUGUGUGGUGGUGGUGCUGGUGGUGCUGGUGGUGCUGACGUUGCUGCAGACUCCUCUGCCCUCCAGCAGGGCACGGACGGACCUGGGCUCAUCCUGAGGGGGUUCACAGCGGAGACCGUGGGCACACUUCAGAGUGUAGACGCCACACGGCUCUCCAAGAGGCAGAGCAGUGGUGUUUUCACCUGCGGCCACCUGCUUUCCUUUACAGGUGGGACAUGCUCUCAGUGAUGAGGUCAGGACGCCCGCCAGGACCGCCUUAGACAGGAGCAGGACCAAGAUGUUUAAGCUCAGGAACGUCAUUGCAGAACAAAUUUUUUUUUGUAUCCUUAAGCUGUUUAAAUGUCUUCAAAGAAUAAAUUAAGUUUAAAAUCUG